CAUGCAAGUCGAGCGGAUCUUGUCCUUCGGGAUAAGAUUAGCGGCGGACGGGUGAGUAACACGUAGGUAACCUGCCCGUAAGACUGGGAUAACAUUCGGAAACGAAUGCUAAUACCGGAUACACAGCUUGGUCGCAUGACCUUGCUGGGAAAGAUGGAGCAAUCUAUCACUUACGGAUGGACCUGCGGCGCAUUAGCUAGUUGGUGAGGUAACGGCUCACCAAGGCGACGAUGCGUAGCCGACCUGAGAGGGUGAUCGGCCACACUGGGACUGAGACACGGCCCAGACUCCUACGGGAGGCAGCAGUAGGGAAUCUUCCGCAAUGGACGAAAGUCUGACGGAGCAACGCCGCGUGAGUGAUGAAGGUUUUCGGAUCGUAAAGCUCUGUUGCCAGGGAAGAACGCUUGGGAGAGUAACUGCUCCCAAGGUGACGGUACCUGAGAAGAAAGCCCCGGCUAACUCUGUGCCAGCAGCCGCGGUAAUACAGAGGGUGCAAGCGUUAAUCGGAAUUACUGGGCGUAAAGCGUGCGUAGACGGUUAUGUAAGUCAGAUGUGAAAGCCCCGGGCUCAACCUGGGAAUUGCAUUUGAGACUGCAUAGCUAGGGUGCGGAAGAGGGAAGCGGAAUUUCCGGUGUAGCGGUGAAAUGCGUAGAUAUCGGAAGGAACACCAGUGGCGAAAGCGGCUUCCUGGUCCAGCACCGACGUUC
rnacentral:rRNA from 1 species